CCCUUAGAUGUUCUGGGCUGCACACGUGCUACACUGGCAGGUUCAGCGAGCUUCAUGCCCUGAUCUGAAAGGAAUGGGAAAUCUUUUCAAAACCUGCCGUGCUUGGGAUAGAUGUUUGCAAUUAUUCAUCUUCAACGAGGAUUGCCUUGUAAGCGCACGUCAUCAGCGUGCAUUGAAUACGACCCUGUAUUCUGUACACACCGCCCGUCGCUCCUACCGAUUGAAGUUUUCGGUGAGUUGACAGGAGGAUUUUUUUGAAACUGGUUCGCCAGUGGAUUUUAGAUCCAAAUGCCAACGAAUCGAUGGCUUUAGAGGAAGGAGAAGUCGUAGCA
rnacentral:rRNA from 1 species